rnacentral:piRNA from 1 species
UAUGAUGUUUACAGGCCUAGGUGGCAAG